CAAGCAGUCCUGCCUCAGUCUCCCAAAGUGCUAGGAUUACAGGCUUUUGUCUUCCAAGAAAGCCACGCAGGAGCUGGCGAAGAUGCUCAACUCAGCAGUAUUCUCAGAAAUGGGUUUCCGGUUAAUGUAUUCCUUCCUGAGGCUGCAAGAGAAAGAUGGCGCUUGGUCUUGCCGAGAUGCCGUGGUCCACUUUUCUUGUAUUCAUGGUAUUAUGAACAAUAAUACAGUAACACUUCUCACGUGUUAGCAUAUUCCAUAUGAUGUUCAGUUUCCUGCCGGGUCUUAAUUCUGCUGUGCGUAGGCAGAACUCAAGAGAAAUGUGAGGUUCGCAAAAUACAAACUAUGAAAGUACCAGGGAGACCCUUCCAGGACUCUUGCUUGGGUAUCAUCCAUGUCCCUGUUAACUUUGCUGGAUGGUGGUCAGAAGUGUAGGUGUUUUGAUGUGAUAAAAGGAAAACCUUUGAGGUGGAGACUAGAAGACUCUCUUGUUACUGGAAAAUAUCUAUUUUACUACUGAGUA